GACGAACGCUGGCGGCGUGCUUAACACAUGCAAGUCGAACGGAAAGGCCCUGCUUUUGUGGGGUGCUCGAGUGGCGAACGGGUGAGUAACACGUGAGUAACCUGCCCUUGACUUUGGGAUAACUUCAGGAAACUGGGGCUCAUACCGGAUAGGAGCUCCUGCUGCAUGGUGGUGGUUGGAAAGUUUCGGCGGUUGGGGAUGGACUCGCGGCUUAUCAGCUUGUUGGUGGGGUAGUGGCUUACCAAGGCUUUGACGGGUAGCCGGCCUGAGAGGGUGACCGGCCACAUUGGGACUGAGGUACGGCCGAGACUCCUACGGGAGGCAGCAGUGGGGAAUAUUGCACAAGGGGCGGAAGCCUGAUGCAGCAACGCCGCGUGCGGGAUGACGGCCUUCGGGUGGUAAACCACUUUCGCCUGUGACGAAGCGUGAGUGACGGUAAUGGGUAAAGAAGCACCGGCUAACUACGUG
rnacentral:rRNA from 1 species